ACACCACCGACGCGGCGACCACCUAGGGAGGGAGCCGUCGAAGGUGGGGCCCGUGAUUGGGGUG
rnacentral:rRNA from 1 species